UACGGAGGGAGCUAGCGUUAUUCGGAAUUACUGGGCGUAAAGCGCACGUAGGCGGCUUUGUAAGUAAGAGGUGAAAGCCCAGAGCUCAACUCUGGGAAUUGCCUUUUAGACUGCAUCGCUUGAAUCAUGGAGAGGUCAGUGGAAUUCCGAGUGUAGAGGUGAAAUUCGUAGAUAUUGGGAAGAACACCGGUGGCGAAGGCGGCUCACUGGGCUCAUUACUGAGCUCAGGCGCUGAUAGCGUGGGGAUCAAACAGGAUUAGAAA
rnacentral:rRNA from 1 species